CGUAGGUGAACCUGCGGAAGGAUCAUUAAUGAGUUGUCAUGGGGUUCGAUGCUGGCAGCCAGUUUUUGGAUGCAUGUGCUUGCCCUAACAAUCAUCUUCUUCCAAACACCUGUGCACAUUUUUGAGGGAGUCUUGAGUUGGUUGCCGCUCUUGGGUGAUUUUCUCACAUUCCCUUAAAUCAUUAUACGCUAUUAACAAUGUUGAACGUGCUCUGUGCCGCAAGGCCAUUAAUAUAAUACAACUUUUAACAACGGAUCUCUUGGCUCUCACAUCGAUGAAGAACGCAGC
rnacentral:misc_RNA from 1 species